UACGUAGGCAGCGAGCGUUGUUCGGAAUUACUGGGCGUAAAGAGUGUGUAGGCGGUGUUCCAAGUUCGGUGUGAAAUCUCCCGGCUUAACUGGGAGGGUGCGCCGAAAACUGGAAUGCUCGAGCGUGGGAGAGGAAAGCGGAAUUCCUGGUGUAGCGGUGAAAUGCGUAGAUAUCAGGAGGAACACCAGCGGUGUAGACGGCUUUCUGGACCAUUGCUGACGCUGAGACACGAAAGCGUGGGUAGCAAACAGGAUUAGAUACCCUGGUAGUCCACGCCCUAAACGAUGCAUACUUGGUGUCGGCCAUUCAGUUGGUCGGUGCCGGAGCUAACGCGUUAAGUAUGCCGCCUGGGGAGUACGGUCGCAAGGCUGAA
rnacentral:rRNA from 1 species